rnacentral:rRNA from 1 species
UGGGGAAUUUUGGACAAUGGGGGCAACCCUGAUCCAGCAAUGCCGCGUGUGUGAAGAAGGCCUUCGGGUUGUAAAGCACUUUUGUCCGGAAAGAAAACGCCGUGGUUAAUACCCGUGGCGGAUGACGGUACCGGAAGAAUAAGCACCGGCUAACUACGUGCCAGCAGCCGCGGUAAUACGUAGGGUGCAAGCGUUAAUCGGAAUUACUGGGCGUAAAGCGUGCGCAGGCGGUCCGCUAAGACAGAUGUGAAAUCCCUGGGCUUAACCUGGGAACUGCAUUUGUGACUGGCGGGCUAGAGUAUGGCAGAGGGGGGUAGAAUUCCACGUGUAGCAGUGAAAUGCGUAGAGAUGUGGAGGAAUACCGAUGGCGAAGGCAGCCCCCUGGGCCAAUACUGACGCUCAUGCACGAAAGCGUGGGGAGCAAACAGGAUUAGAUACCCUGGUAGUCCACGCCCUAAACGAUGUCAACUAGUUGUCGGGUCUUCAUUGACUUGGUAACGUAGCUAACGCGUGAAGUUGACCGCCUGGGGAGUACGGUCGCAAGAUUAAAACUC